GACCUUAAACAAUUUCACACAUUCGUUGAUUUAUGAAAUACCGUUUUAUCAUUUAUUGAACUUUAAAACCGUGAUAGGAAAUAGGGUGAGGGGUCCUUACUCGUUUCGGGGUCCCAACAUGGCUUCACAGUGCGCUUGCAGGCUGUCCCUAAUUUUCUCUGAAUUUUUUCUAGGGAACUGAAACGCACUACUGGUACCUGCACGUGUUCCAAAAAAUUCUAAAUUAGG
rnacentral:lncRNA from 1 species